rnacentral:lncRNA from 1 species
UUAUCUUAUUUUAACGAAAUUUUCUCGUUUUAGAAUGAAACUCUUAAUGUUAAAUUUUGAGCAAGACAACCCAACAUGGGUCACACCACCUCUUAGUUUUAUAAAGAUAAAUUUUGAUGAGGCAGUGGAUUCGAGGAAGAGAUGUGGAGCUAUUAUUGCCAUGGCAAGAGACCCUUCAGGUUUUGCACCAGGUUGGAGCUGUAGAAGAUUUCUUGGAAUUUUUAUCCUCUCAUUUUAGAGGCCUUACCUUAUGGAGAAGUUGCCUUUCUAGCAAGAGUGCAAUUUUCAUCGUAUUAUUUUGAAACGUGAUUCUUUUUCUGUUAUCAAAACCUUACAAGAAGAUACCUCUUGCAUUUCUAUCAAAAGUUGUGUUCAAAAUACUUUUCGGCUUUCUUCUCCUCUUAUAUUCAAGAUAUUUUUCGGCUUUUUUCUCAUUUUCAUCGAGUGCUCUUCAAUCAUGUCAAUAAAAAA